CUACGGGCUGCUGCAGUGGGGGAUAUUGCACAAUGGGCGAAAGCCUGAUGCAGCAACGCCGCGUGAAGGAAGACGGUUUUCGGAUUGUAAACUUCUAUCAGCUGGGAAGAAAAUGACGGUACCAGACUAAGAAGCCCCGGCUAACUAUGUGCCAGCAGCCGCGGUAAUACAUAGGGGGCAAGCGUUAUCCGGAAUUACUGGGUGUAAAGGGUACGUAGGCGGCUGAUCAAGUCAGAUGUGAAAGCCCGGAGCUCAACUCCGGGAUUGCAUUUGAAACUGGUCGGCUAGAGUGCAGGAGAGGAAAGUGGAAUUCCUAGUGUAGCGGUGAAAUGCGUAGAUAUUAGGAAGAACACCAGUGGCGAAGGCGGCUUUCUGGACUGUAACUGACGCUGAGGUACGAAAGCGUGGGGAGCGAACAGGAUUAGAUACCCCAGUAGUC
rnacentral:rRNA from 1 species